GGAGUCUGGUCCGUGUCUCAGUACCAGUGUGGGGGACCUUCCUCUCAGAACCCCUACUGAUCGUAGCCUUGGUGGGCCGUUACCCCGCCAACAAGCUAAUCAGACGCAUCCCCAUCCCAUACCGACGAGUCUUUGUUCCUCAUAAGAUGCCCAACAAGGAAAACAUAGAGUAUUAAUCCGACUUUCGCCGGGCUAUCCUCUGGUAGGGGGAAGGUUGGAUACGCGUUACUCACCCGUGCGCCGGUCGCCAUCAAAGUCAGCAAGCUGACUCCAUGUUGCCCCUCGACUUGCAUGUGUUAAGCCUGUAGCUAGCGUUCAUC
rnacentral:rRNA from 1 species